AACGCGAAGAACCUUACCAACCCUUGACAUGCCUGGACAAUCCGAGAGAUCGGACUUUCCUUCGGGACCAGUGCACAGGUGCUGCAUGGCUGUCGUCAGCUCGUGUCGUGAGAUGUUCGGUUAAGUCCGGCAACGAGCGCAACCCACAUCUUUAGUUGCCAGCAGGUUAAGCUGGGCACUCUAGAGAAACUGCCCGUGAUAAGCGGGAGGAAGGUGUGGAUGACGACAAGUCCUCAUGGCCCUUACGGGUUGGGCUACACACGUGCUACAAUGGCAGUGACAAUGGGUUAGUCCCAAAAAGCUGUCUCAGUUCGGAUUGGGGUCUGCAACUCGACCCCAUGAAGUCGGAAUCGCUAGUAAUCGCGUAACAGCAUGACGCGGUGAAUACGUUCCCGGGUCUUGUACACACCGAAU
rnacentral:rRNA from 1 species